AUGCCUUCCGUGGAACUGCUCCCAUCAAUCUCACUGAUAGGCUGCAUCAGGUUCUUGGAUGGGCUACUGGUUCAGUCGAGAUAUUCUUCUCCCAAUGACCGGCCAGCUGCUGCUUAUGUCCUUCUUGCUCGGCAAGAUUUGGCGAUGUCAACUUUGGCACGUAAAUGCAAGUAUAAGGAAGUUGAAACACCAACAACAAUACCUGUAAACCAGAAGAAAAGAGAGGAAAAAGAAUCACACAAAAAACUUUCUCUCAACCUCAUAAUUUCUCUCUGUUAA